rnacentral:rRNA from 1 species
AUUGAACGCUGGCGGCAUGCUUCACACAUGCAAGUCGAACGGCAACAGGGUGCUUGCACCGCUGACGAGUGGCGAACGGGUGAGUAAUACAUCGGAAUGUACCCAGUAAUGGGGGAUAACGCUUCGAAAGGAGUGCUAAUACCGCAUACGCCCUGAGGGGGAAAGUGGGGGACCGCAAGGCCUCACGUUAUUGGAGCAGCCGAUGGCUGAUUAGCUAGUUGGUGAGGUAAAGGCUCACCAAGGCGACGAUCAGUAGCGGGUCUUAGAGGACGAUCCGCCACACUGGAACUGAGACACGGUCCAGACUCCUACGGGAGGCAGCAGUGGGGAAUCUUGGACAAUGGGCGAAAGCCUGAUCCAGCAAUGCCGCGUGCGUGAAGAAGGCCUUCGGGUUGUAAAGCGCUUUUGUCUGGGAGCAAAUCCUGGCCUCUAAUACAGGUCGGGGAUGAGAGUACCAGAAGAAUAAGGACCGGCUAACUACGUGCCAGCCGCCGCGGUAAUAC